GAAGAUAUAGCUCAGUGGUAGAGUGCAUGCCUAGCAUGCAUGAGGUCCUGGGUUCAAUCCCCAGUACCUCCA
rnacentral:tRNA from 1 species